rnacentral:rRNA from 1 species
GACGAACGCUGGCGGCGUGCUUAACACAUGCAAGUCGAGCGGUAAGGCCCUUUCGGGGGGUACACGAGCGGCGAACGGGUGAGUAACACGUGGGUGACCUGCCCUCAGCUCUGGGGAUAAGCCUGGGAAACCGGGUCUAAUACCGGAUAUGACUCCAUGACGCAUGUUGUGGGGUGGAAAGCCUUGUGCGGCUGAGGAUGGGCCCGCGGCCUAUCAGCUUGUUGGUGGGGUGAUGGCCUACCAAGGCGACGACGGGUAGCCGGCCCUGAGAGGGCGACCGGCCACACUGGGACUGAGACACGGCCCAGACUCCUACGGGAGGCAGCAGUGGGGAUCUUGCGCAAUGGGCGAAAGCCUGACGCAGCGACGCCGCGUGA